rnacentral:rRNA from 1 species
UACGUAAGGUGCAAGCGUUGUUCGGAAUGACUGGGCGUAAAGCGCACGUAGGCGGGUCUGUAAGUCAGAUGUGAAAUCCCCGGGCUUAACCUGGGAACUGCAUCUGAAACUACAAAUCUUGAAUACCUCAGAGGUUGGUGGAAUUCCUGGUGUAGGAGUGAAAUCCGUAGAGAUCAGGAGGAACAUCGGAGGCGAAGGCGGCCAACUGGGAGAGUAUUGACGCUGAGGUGCGAAAGCGUGGGGAGCAAACAGG